rnacentral:rRNA from 1 species
UACAGGGGGGGCAAGCGUUGUUCGGAAUUACUGGGCGUAAAGGGCUCGUAGGUGGCCAACUAAGUCAGACGUGAAAUCCCUCAGCUUAACUGGGGAACUGCGUCUGAUACUGGAUGGCUUGAGUUUGGGAGAGGGAUGCGGAAUUCCAGGUGUAGCGGUGAAAUGCGUAGAUAUCUGGAGGAAUACCGGUGGCGAAGGCGGCAUCCUGGACCGGCAUUGACGCUGAGGAGCGAAAGCUAGGGGAGCAAACAGG